UACAGAGGUCUCAAGCGUUGUUCGGAUUCAUUGGGCGUAAAGGGUGCGUAGGCGGCGCGGUAAGUCGGGUGUGAAAUCUCGGAGCUUAACUCCGAAACUGCAUUCGAUACUACCGUGCUUGAGGACUGGAGAGGAGACUGGAAUUUACGGUGUAGCGGUGAAAUGCGUAGAUAUCGUAAGGAAGACCAGUGGCGAAGGCGGGUCUCUGGGCCUGUUCUGACGCUGAGGAGCGAAAGCGUGGGGAGCGAACAGG
rnacentral:rRNA from 1 species